rnacentral:tRNA from 3 species
GGUGGUUUAGGCAAUUUGCCUUACAAGCAGGAGGUCUGCGGUUCAAAUCCGCAUGUUCCCACCA